AGAUACCCAUUAUUAAGAAUGUAAAUUUUGUGUAUUAAGUAGAUCUUUAAAUUAAAAGAAUUUGACGGUGAUUUAUUGUAGAGGAACCUGUCCUGUAAUUGACCACAUAGAUUUUACUAAAUUUGUAUAUCUCUGUCUUGAAUGUUCUAUUAGUUUUCUUAUUUUAAAAAUAUGUCAGGUCAAGGUGGUUUUUAAGGUGAGAUGGGUUACAGGUUUGGAUUUUUAAAGAAAUUGGAUUUAAUGUAAUUUUAUU
rnacentral:rRNA from 1 species